rnacentral:rRNA from 1 species
CCUACGGGAGGCAGCAGUGGGGGAUAUUGGGCAAUGGGCGCAAGCCUGACCCAGCGACGCCGCGUGAAGGAAGAAGGCUUUCGGGUUGUAAACUUCUUUUAAGAGGGAAGAGCAGAAGACGAUACCUCUUGAAUACGCCACGGCUAACUACGUGCCAGCAGCCGCGGUAAUACGUAGGUGGCAAGCGUUGUCCGGAUUUACUGGGUGUAAAGGGCGUGCAGCCGGGAAGACAAGUCAGAUGUGAAAUCCCGGGGCUCAACCGCGGAACUGCAUUUGAAACUGUUUUUCUUGAGUGAGGGAGGAGUAUGCGGAAUGCGUGGUGUAGCGGUGAAAUGCAUAGAUAUCACGAAGAACUCCGGUGGCGAAGGCGGCAUACCGGAGCUCAACUGACGCUCAUGCACGAAAGUGUGGGGAGCGAACAGGAUUAGAUACCCCAGUAGUC